UCUUCCCCCGUCUCCUUCUCUCUUUCCUGUCAGUCUACUGUCAUAUAAGGGACACUAGAGCCCACAAAAGACCCUGAAGGGGUAAAAAAUAUAUAUAUAUAUAGUUCUUAUAAUGGAUAAUAACCUAAAGGAGCUUAUGACAAAAAUAUCAAGCUAAGACAUUAGCAAUAUCAUAUAUAUAUAUACAUAUAUAUAUCAUAUGGCAAACUUGUAGAAGAUUAAGGAAAUGUGUGAUAAAACUAAAGAGAAAGAAAAAAUUACAUUAUGAAAACAAAUUGCAUAAUUGUGGUAGCGAAAGUGAACUUUGGUGCAGACGAGAGACUGCUCUGAGACAGACUAUACUGCAGGGCAUUCUGGGAAAAUACACCAAAACAAACGAGCUAGCUUAGCACUAGCAGGAGAAAUGGUUUGUGGUCUUUCACUAAAGACAAAAGAGAAAUUCUCCAACUGCUAAAAUCUCACACCACUUAAUUUCUGUUUACACUUGGUGAAGAGGGAAAUUGCGCUAAAUGUCUUCUUCAGAGGUUUUAGUGUUGUGUCCUUCAGUGGGUCUUGGUGCAGCGCCACCACAAGCAAGGAGGGGAACAGGUUGCUCAAAACAGAAAGAAAGAGAAGCACAGCAGUUGGAGAUGGAACGAAUGUUGCUGUUUGGUCGACAAUCAAACCAAGUCUAGUCUCUGGUCCAUCAAGUCUGUGGCGCGCCGGAGUCGGUGAGGCACCUGCUGUGGGACUGCAGCGCUGCUGUGGACCUGUGGGCGAAAGCUGGCUCCUUGCAAUUUCCACACUUGCCAACAAGGGAGGUCCUCGAACCACAGCUAGUGCUGUACGGGGUGAGCCAGCAGAAAAUAAAGAAAAAGAACUUUGCUGAGAUGUGGCUCACCCUAGCCACCAUCAAAGACACCAUUUGGACCUCCAGAAACUUGCUGGUGAGCAGGCGCAGGCAGAUGCCCCCCGUGGCUGUGAUCCGGAUGGCGGCAGCAAAAAGGAAAACAUCAAGGGCUGCAGGUGGCGCGCCAAGGACACAGCCACCAAGAAGAAUCGCCUGCGCCUCCGUGGACGAAGGAGCCGGCGCUCCACGAAAAGAGGUCCAAGCAGCGGCGGCCUGGCUCUCCGGGUGAGGCAGGAGGGAAGGAGCUUCAGGGCAGGUUUCCCCUCUGAGCACCAAGUGCUGUCUGGAAGGACGGGACGGCUCCGGACUUUGGAAGGAGUCACACCGGUCCUGCUCAACUUUUAACACACAGAGAUUUUAUGUUUUAUACUCUUGUUCUUAGCUUCUUUUAGUAUAAACUGAUGAACUUGGAAAUUUUUUGAAAGGUUCUGUAUAACUGCAAAAAUGUAAUGGAUUUUUAAAUGCUUACAGUAACAAUAAAAAUUUUCGAAAGAAAAAAAAAAAUCAAACCAAGUCUACAAGAUGUUCAGGUGUGAAAACACGUUCUGAAUGAACCUGAACGUCUUUUUGAAAGGAGGAAACCAGAGUACAGACAGAAGGCAAGCUUGCAAACUCCAGGCAGAAAUAGUGGAGAGAUUUGAACCCAGCAUCGUUUUGCCAGAAGGCAGCAUGUGUGCCACCAUGUAACAAAACACUUUACCAAAAUGAAUGACAUAAUUAUCAGAACAACACUGUAAUUAAAGAAUUGCAACUGAAAAGCAAACAUGAAAUGCAUCUGCAAAAACAUGUGCAGAACCGCUGUAGUGAAUAAAAUACGUUCAAACGAACAAGCUGACAAUUUGUUCAUCUUCAAUCCGGACAAACAGAUUUAAACCUGGCUACUAGUGAAGGAUCAAAACAGAACCAAUUUAUGAUGGAUGCAAACAGAAGAAAUAGAUGUUAUUGUUCGUUCUGCGUCAGUGUUUUCUUUUUAAAUAUAACCAAAUAUUUUAAGUCCUCCUAAAAUAUUCAGAAUGUCCUUGUGAUGUUCUCUUGUUGUUCCGAUAACUUUAUCUGAAUCUCGGCGAGAAUCAAAAUAACCAGAUGACAGACAGAGUGGGACGGACUGUCAGACGUUGCUUCUUAUUACUUACAGGCUGUCAGCAGUGAGUGAGACUCAAAUCCUCAAAUAAAAGCUACAAACGUUGGUGUUCAUUAUGAAGCCAAAGUGUUUGCAGCGACUGCUGGAGCUGCUUUGAUGCCUCAUCAGAACAAGAUGGUUUCAGCUUUUCUCCUCACUCUGGUGAUUUCUGGGUUGAUGAAAGAAACAGCAGGAAGUGAACCAGGAAGAGGAGGAGGUGGAGAUGGAGGAGAAGAAAGUGGAG